GCACAGUUGCUAUAAAGUAAAAUGAUCAACACACAGUUGAAGUCGUCGAUGGUCUGGGACUGAUUAGUAAGCUAUAGAUACUCAACAAGGAUAGAGAAAUUGUUAGGUCGAGACACUGACUUGUCUUCACAUAAAUUCGACUUUAAAAUGUUUUAUUCAAAUUCAUGGACCAAGUGCUUGAUAUACCUUAUCUUUAUAACAAGUGGAGAUUCUGAAUGUCCCAAACCUCAAGUGGAAGGAAAUCAAAAUGUCUUUCUAACGAAUGAUGCGCUCCUAAAGAACGAUUUUCCGGAGGGCUCGGAAGUCACGUUUCAAUGUGCCAACGGCUACAUGAAAGAGCAAGGAUCUGAAAGCAUCACCUGCACGAGUGGAGAGUGGAGCACCCUGGAAUUAAUCUGCAAAAAUAAAGACUGCGGUGCACCCAAGGAGAUGCCACAUUUGACAUAUGAGUUUGAUAAGGGAGGGACGCUUUUUGGUGCUUCAGCAAGAGCAAUUUGUGAUAAAGGCUAUCAAGUUCAGGGAUCAAGUUACAGGCAGUGUUAUGCCACAGGUUGGAGUGGAAGAUCAAGAUGUGAAGUGGUAACUUGUGAAGAACCUAUUGAUAUAAUGAAUGGAAUGAUCUCAGAGAAGCCUGACAAACAGUUUCCAGAGUAUGGGGAUGUCAUACAGUAUUCCUGUGAUGAAGGUUACACCCUCAUUGGAAACAAAUCCAUUGAGUGCGAUGAAGAUGGUGAAUACAACUCAUUCCGUCCUGAAUGCAAAGAUGUCAAUGACAUUCCUUUGAAACCAACAACCAUAUCAGCAUCAAUAACAUCGACUGUUCCACCCACAAUACAAGUUUCAGGGACGCAUCAUAGCAUUGGUGAACAUGACACCAACACAGCUACAAAUGUCAAUGCCAUUCCUUUGAAACCAAUAACAACAUCGACUGUUCCACCAACAAUACAAGAUUUUUCCAGCUCACAUGCAGCAGUCGUGGGAAGUGUGAUCGGCUUCGUCAUAGGAGCAUAUACGCACGGGGGCGACUGAAAGAUGAAUGAGGUCCAGACUCCAGUCGGUUGUGUUACACUUAUUGUGCUGUUCGUAUUAUAUCGUUUUCAGAAGAUGAAAGGGUGAGAACCUACAUUUGAUCAUUUCUCUUACUAGAAAAUAGUGCACGAUUUCACCUACAACUGAAUCACAGCUAUUAUUUUCCCCCUAACUAUAUAUGCAUUCACUACAACUUCUGCUAAUGUACUUUACACUGUUCAUUACACAAAUGAAUUAUUUGGAUAAACUAGCCAUACGGCUGGCCAAUUAAUUGAACUAAACAAUGCUGUUUACGGAAUUACAUAACCCAUGAACUAACAUUCAGUCUGGCGUUUCAUAUUCAUGUAUUCCCUACGAUACCUGUGAUUUGCAUGAUCAAACUUUUUGCUAGAUACUUCAACUUGCUACUGUACAUGCCAUAGUUGCCUUUGCCUGUUUUUGGCCAUUCCGCUAAAGCUUUGUCUUUCCUGCUGGGUGUUGAAAAAUCAAGGAAGUUGGGAAAUCCUUUCCAAAGGCACUCUCGGACAGAGAUAUUGGUAUUGAAAAAGAGAGUAUAGUAUGGUGUUCAAAAGGGAGGUGGCUAGGAAGCUAGACCUACCAUACACCGUGCUAAACUGACCAGCUGACUACCACACUGGAACACAGCUACCAAACUAAGCACUAAAAUACUGAGAUUGGCAUGCAUAAUCUACUGUGUUUCCUUACUGCACUAUUAUUUAUAUGUAAACAUGAUAAUCCUGACAAUUUCAUUAUUUGAAAAUGUUGCAUAGCUCCUACCAGACAGGAGAAGACUCAAGAAGAAAAGAGGAGUUAUUACAAUUUCAAAAUGACUAAGUUGAAUGCCUACCCAAGGGCUAGGACUGCUCCUGUCUGCAUCUGUGUCCUUGAAAAGAAGUGCCCAGUAAUUGUCUCAGACCAUUCCCUGGUUGAACAAAGCCACUUAAUUUACAGUGCCUUUACGUAUGUGACAUUAUCGAAUGAAAGUUAUAAUUGUACUUUUGUCAUGAAGAUGUAAAUAUUUUUUGAAAGUCAGUGUAAAUGUUUUAACCCAAUGUUUGAAGAAUAAUAUUUAAAUAUUUUUUUAUGUAUUUAUAUUCAAAACUGGAACAUGUGUAAUAAAAAGCUUUUUGCAUUGUCAAA